UGUACACAAAUGAAAAUACACUGUCUACAGGCUUGAUGUCGUAAUCAUGUCACAACUGAGACUUUCACAACUUCUUUAUUUCCAAUGUUCUUUCGAAAAGAUUUACCAUACUGGCAUCGACAACCACCAACUGUUGGUUUGGUUGGCCCACAGUGGAAAGUUACUGAAAAGCAUGACAGGCUAUUUAGUUGGCCUUUAUGGCUGAAUUCUCACUUUGUUGUAUCAUCCACAGACAGAAGUUGAAUACGGCCGAGAAGAAGCUUCCAACCAAACCAGUCCCCUAGAUACAGAAAGCAACCUUGUCUAGACCAGAGGACAUCUAUGAAAACAUGAAAUGGUCAGCCAAGCCGAUCACUGAUCCUGAUGACAUGAACUACGCAGAGCUCAAUAUCAGGCCUGCUCCUUCACCCAGGAUGCAGCGGAAUAACAAGGUAGAGGAUGACGAUGCAGUAAUCUACAGACAACUGCAAACACACUGAGGUGGUCAGAGAACUUUGAUAUCUGGACCUCAAGGCCUACAGUAUGGUAAACUCAAGAAAAGUGAAUGACAAAAAGUAUGUUUAAGUCACGUUUUUUAAAUAGCAAAAUACAAGCUGUUAUACUGUAUGUGUAUGUACAAACCAUGUACAGUGUACAAUGUACAAAAUAAACAGUAAAAAAGUGGAUAAUUAUACAAAUACAAACAUAAAAUGAUUUACAUGAGCACACAGGGUAUAAAAUUGUUAAACUUGGGUCAAAUGUUUUGGGUAGCCUUCCACAUGCUUCCCACAAUAAGUUAGGUGAAUUUUGGCCCAUUCCUCCUGACAGAGCUGGUGUAACUGAGUCAGAUUUGUAGGACUCCUUGCUUGCACACGCUUUUUCAGUUCUGCCCACAAAUGUUCGAUUGGAUUGAGGUCAGGGCUUUGUGAUGGCCACUCCAAUACCUUGACUUUGUUGUCCUUAAGCCAUUUUGCCUUUGGAAGUAUGCUUGGGGUCAAUGUCCAUUUGGAAGACCCAUUUGCGACCAAGCUUUAACUUCCUGACUGAUGUCUUGAGAUGUUGUUUCAAUAUAUUCCCAUCAUUUUCCUUUCUCAUGCUGCCAUCUAUUUUCUGAAGUGCACCUGUCCCUCUUGCAGCAAGCACCCUCACAACUCACAACAUGAUGCUGCCACCUCCGUCCUUCGUGGUUGGGAUGGUGGUCUUCGCUUGUAAGUCUCCCCCUUUUCCCUCCAAACAUAAUCAUGGUCAUUAUGGCGAAACAGUUCUAUUUUUGUUUCAUCAGACCAGAGGACAUUUCUCCAGAAAGUGCGAUCUUUGGCCCCAUGUGCAGUUGCAAACCAUAGUCUCGCUUUUUUAUGGCGGUUUUGGAGCAGUGGCUUCUUCCUUGCUGAGCGGCCGUUCAGGUGAUGUCAAUAUAGGACACAUUUUACUGUGGAUAUAGAUACUUUUGUAACUGUUUCCUCCAGCAUCUUCACAAGGUCCUUUGCUGUUGUUCUGGGAUUGAUUUGCACUUUUCGCACCAAAGUACAUUCAUCUCUAGGAGACAGAACGCGUCUCCUUCCUGAUUGGUAUGACGGCUGCGUGGUCCCAUGGUGUUUAUACUAUUGUUUGUACAGAUGAACGUGGUUUGGAAAUUGCUCCAAAGGAUGAACCAGACUUGUGGAGGUUUACAAUUUUUUUCUGAGGUCUUGGCUGAUUUCUUUUGAUUUUCCCAUGACAUCAAGCAAAGAGGCACUGAGUUUGAAGGUAGACCUUGAAAUACAUCCACAGAUACACCUACAAUUGACUCAAAUGAUGUCAAUUAGCCUAUCAGAAGCUUCUAAAGCCAUGACAUAAUUUUCUGGAAUUUUCCAAGCUUUUAAAGGCACAGUCAACUUAGUGUAUGUAAACUUCGUACCCACUGGAAUUAUGAUACAGUGAAUUAUAAGUGAAACAAUCUGUCUUAAACAAGUGUUGGAAAAAUUACUUGUGUCAUGCACAAAGUAGAUGGCCAGGUUGCAGUUGCAAAUGAGAGCUUGUUCUCAACUAGCCUACCUGGUUAAAUUUGUAUUAUUUUAUCUUCAUUUAACUAGGCAAGUCAGUUAAGAACAAAUUCUUAUUUUCAAUGACGGCCUAGGAACAGUGGGUUAACUGCCUGUUCAGGGGCAGAAUGACAGAUUUGUACCUUGUCAACCCUUCUGGUUGCUAGUCCAACACUCUAACCACUAGGCUACGCUGCCACCCCGAUAAAAUAAAGUUGAACUCUAAAAAAAAAUAUAAAGUAAAUGGAGAUGAACUCACAAUUGUGUUGUCUUUUUGCUGAUAACAAAAUCUUUUAUUGAAGGCUUUGUUCAAAAAUGCUGAUAGUAAAAAGUUAACAGAAUUACAACACAUUUGAAUGUUCUUUGAUUGAAUAGGAAAAAUUGUGUGAAAAAAUGAUGUAAUUAACAGGCAAUGUUUAUUUUUAAAAUUGGGGCUAUGGCAGUCAAUUGCAAAACAUUCUAACAGUAUUUCUUAUUGUAUUCUCAACUCACCAUAAUAUACUUUUCAUGUGGGGCUAUGACAGGCAAUUGUAAAGUCUGACAUAAUUUAUCUUAUCACCACCACUAAUGAGAUGGGUGUGCUUGAUACAUGUCAGGUCUGAUAUUCUCAAAGUCAGGGGUGUGGUCCACAAUGUGCACCUCAUCUCUCCUGUCACAUCCAACCUGGAUCAAUAUUUGUUUUUAAUGCAGACGCGAGCACAAAAUCAGCGCACCAUGAGUUUUAGACGGCACAGUAUUCCCUUUGAGUCAGGUGUGGCCACCAGCUGCAUUAAGUACUGCAGUGCAUCUCCUCCUCAUGGACUGCACCAGAUUUGCCCGUUCUUGCUGCAAGAUGUUACCCCACUCUUCCACCAAGGCACCUGCAAGUUCCCGGACAUUUCUGGGGACAAUGGCCCUCACCCUCACCCUCCGAUCCAACAGGUCUCAGAUGGGAUUGGGAUUGAGGGAUUGGGAUUGAGAUCCGGGCUCUUCGCUGACAUUCCUGUCUUGCAGGAAAUCACACACAGAACGAGCAGUAUGGCUGGUGGCAUUGUCAUGCUGGAGGGUUAUGUCAGGAUGAGCCUGCAGGAAGGGUACCACAUAAGGGAGAAGGAUGUCUUCCCUGUAACGCACAGCGUUGAGAUUGCCUGCAAUGACAAUAAGCUCAGUUGAUGAUGCUGUGACACACCGCCCCAGACCACGACGGACCCUCUACCUCCAAAUCGGAAUCACGCUUCACCAUCUGGCAGUCUGACGGACGAAUCUGGGUUUUGCGGAAGCCAGGAGAAUGCCACCUGUUCCAAUGCAUAGUGCCAACUGUAAAGUUUGAUGGAGGAGGAAUAAUGGCCUGGGGCUGUUUUUCAUGGUUCGAGCAAGGUCCCUUAGUUCCACUGAAGAGAAAUCUUAAUGCUACAGCAUACAUUGACAUUCUAGACUAUUCUGUGAUUCCAAUGUUGUAGAAACAGUUGGGGGAUGGCCCUUUCCUGUUUCAGCAUGACAAUUUCCCAUGUACAAAGCAAGGUCCAUGCAGAAAUGGUUUGUCAAGAUCAGUGUGUAAGAACUUGACUGGCCUGUAUAGAGCCCUGACCUCAAACCCAUCGAACACCUGCGAGCCAGGCCUAAGUGCCCGACCUCACUAAUGCUCUUGUGGCUGAAUGGAAGCAAGUCCCCGCAGCAAUAUUCCAACAUCUAUGGGAAAGAUUUCCAGAAGAGUGUAGGCUGUUAUAGCAGCAAAGGGGGGACCAACUCCAUAUUAGGAGGAUGUAUUAUCUUGGCAAAGAAGAAAUCACUAACACGGAUGUAAACAAAUGUGUGCACAACAUUUUAGAGAAAUAAGCUUUUUGUGCGUAUAGAAAAUGUCUGGGAUCUUUUAUUUCAGCUCAUGAAACAUUGGACCAACACUUUACAUGUUGCAUUUUUAUUUGUGUUCAGUGUAGUUGCUGUAGUUUACUUUAGAGAACACAAACUCUUGCAUCUUAUACAGUGAAGAACGUGCAAAGUAGCAAGGGAAAGAGAGACAUGGGAGGGGCACAGCCAGGCAGAGGUCAGUCUUUCGGCUACCAGGCAGACAGUCAGAACCGUGCAUCAGUAAUAAAAAGAUGUUGGUAGGCUAUAAGUUAUCUCAAUUAUGUAUUUAUAAGUUAUCUCAAUGAUGUAUUUAUAAGUUAUCUCAAUACUGUAUUUAUAAGUUAUCUCAAUACUGUAUUUAUAAGUUAUCUCAAUACUGUAUUUAUACGUUAUCUCAAUACUGUAUUUAUAAGUUAUCUCA